UUCGGAGGUCGAUCCUUCCGUCCCAGA
rnacentral:tRNA from 1 species